GCAACCUACCCUUUACAGGCGGAUAGCUCGGGGAACUCGAAUUAACCCGCCAUAAUAUAAUUGGAUGGCAUCAUUUGAUUAUUAAAUCUGCGGAGGUAAAGGAUGGGCAUGCGUCUGAUUAGUUAGUUGGCGGGGUAAUGGCCCACCAAGACGAUGAUCAGUAGGGGACCUGAGAGGGUGAUCC
rnacentral:rRNA from 1 species